rnacentral:lncRNA from 1 species
UAAUACUGAACCAGAUGCUCCGCAGGGCGCAGCUUUAUACGACCGCAGAGGUUGAACCCUGAACGGUUGGGGCAAGUAUGGACACAACAUUCAAGCUGGAUUCAGCUCUAAAUUUGGAUUGUGAUUAAAUAGUUGACACAGCAUAGGUUUCUGACACAGAAUGAAUGCGGUCAAAGAACUUAAAUUUUUUUUUGCCUUUGAGCAAUUCACUAUGCUGUUGAAUAUUAAUCCUCUCAAAAAAAAUGUUUAAAGACAUUUUCUUUUUGCUUAUGAAAUC